GAUUAGGGCUCCGCCUAUGAGUUCGAACCUGAAUGUGCGCGUGCGCGUGUCUACACACACACACACACACACACACACAUAUCAAAUGAAGGCAAUCUGGCUGAUGCAGUAUAGUUUGUUCCAUACCAUCGUAGUAUCAUUCGCUAGAUUGCUGUUGUUAGGAGAAGCUUGAGUAUUCGUCAUCGAAGAUGAGAGCUAAGUGGAAGAAGAAGCGCAUGAGGAGAUUGAAGAGGAAGCGCCGAAAGAUGAGACAAAGAUCUAAGUAGGUGCAGGAGCUGAAACAAAAUAAGGCUUGCCCGUCUGAUACUGUACUAUCUUCAUGACUUGUCAGGCAAUUAAUUGCCUUGUAAUGUUGUGGUGUGGUUCCUGGGGGUAGGCCUCUCGCUCUAUGGUUAGUUUUAUUAGUAUUGGACCAAGGCAUUUUAGUACGUGAGUUGUAAUUUUGUGAGUUUUAUUAGUUUUAUUGGAAUAUGUUCAAGUUUUUCUAUACUUUUCAUCUAAAUGGCAUAUUGUUUAACUUUUACUGAUUUAAAUGGAGUUUUGAUGCUGGUAUCUUGAGAUGCCUCUGAAUAA